GACGUAGGGGGCGAGCGUUAUCCGGAUUCACUGGGCGUAAAGGGCGCGUAGGCGGUUCCGAAAGUCCGGCGUGAAACCCCACGGCUCAACCGUGGAACUGCGUCGGAAACUUCGGUGACUUGAGGGUGGUAGAGGCAACUGGAACAAGCGGUGUAGCGGUGAAAUGCGCAGAUAUCGCUUGGAACGCCGGUGGCGAAGGCGAGUUGCUGGGCCAUCCCUGACGCUGAGGCGCGAAAGCUAGGGGAGCGAACCGG
rnacentral:rRNA from 1 species